UACGGAGGAUCCGAGCGUUAUCCGGAUUUAUUGGGUUUAAAGGGAGCGUAGGUGGAUUGUUAAGUCAGCGGUCAAAGCCCGGGGCUCAACCCCGGCCCGCCGUUGAAACUGGCAGUCUCGAGUUGGAGAGAAGUAUGCGGAAUGCGCGGUGUAGCGGUGAAAUGCAUAGAUAUUGCGCAGAACUCCGAUUGCGAAGGCAGCAUACCGGCGGCGAUCUGACGCUGAGGCACGAAAGCGUGGGUAUCGAACAGG
rnacentral:rRNA from 1 species